rnacentral:rRNA from 1 species
CUACGGGACGCAGCAGUGGGGAAUAUUGCACAAUGGACGAAAGUCUGAUGCAGCAACGCCGCGUGGAGGAUGACACAUUUCGGUGCGUAAACUCCUUUUAUAUAGGAAGAUAAUGACGGUACUAUAUGAAUAAGCGCCGGCUAACGCCGUGCCAGCAGCCGCGGUAAUACGGAGGGCGCAAGCGUUACUCGGAAUCACUGGGCGGAAAGAGCGUGUAGGCGGAUAGAUAAGUCAGGAGUGAAAUCCUAUGGCUCAACUAUAGAACUGCUCUUGAAACUGUCUAUCUAGAAUAUGGGAGAGGUAGAUGGAAUUUCUGGUGUAGGGGUAAAAUCCGUAGAGAUCAGAAGGAAUACCGAUUGCGAAGGCGAUCUACUGGAACAUUAUUGACGCUGAGACGCGAAAGCGUGGGGAGCAAACAGGAUUAGAUACCCUAGUAGUC